GGUGCAUGCGUCGGGGAUCGGUUCCCUGAGGUCAUAAACAAAACGACUCUCGGCAACGGAUAUCUCGGCUCUCGCAUCGAUGAAGAACGUAGCGAAAUGCGAUACUUGGUGUGAAUUGCAGAAUCCCGUGAACCAUCGAGUCUUUGAACGCAAGU
rnacentral:rRNA from 1 species